GGAUAGAAGACUUUCUAAAAAGCAGAACUAUUUGACCUUGAGUACAGAUCAGUCUCUGGGAUUGAUGAACAGCGUCAAUCUCACAGAAGGCACAAUCUCACCCCUUAAUAAAGUCCCUCCUUUUCUUUUCACUUCCCCCACCCCCUUCCUGCCUGACGAAUUCCCUUAUUUGGUCAGAGAGAUUGUAGGAAAUUCUAUCUCGGGGAUCAACUGAUUAUAGAUGCUAGUAAAGUCAUGCCGAGUUGAUAGAUUUAUGUCCUACCAUCAUUCAGCAGAUGCUAAGAAGCAAUUCCAACAGUUUGCCACACAGACACUAACAUCUCAGUUUACUUCCACUUUACAAUCAGCCUUCAGUGUUGUUUAAUGGAAGCAGGAAAUGAAAUGGAUUUGUGUGUGAUGUAUGCAUAGAUGUCAUUCUGUAGAAGAUAUUCAAAGCUGAAUACUUGGAGAAUUUGUCAGGGCCGGCCGCUGAUCAACUUUUAUCUUGACUGAAUUCAUUUUUGGUGUCUGUUUUAUGUAAAGAUGUGGGCUCGAAUUUCACGGAAUUCGUAAUGAUUUUGUAUAAACACUAAGUAGAGUAUAAAGGGAACUUAUUUUUUUUUAAUGCUUCA